rnacentral:rRNA from 1 species
UACGUAGGUGGCAAGCGUUGUCCGGAAUUAUCGGGCGUAAAGCGCGCGCAGGUGGUUUCUUAAGUCUGAUGUGAAAGCCCACGGCUCAACCGUGGAGGGUCAUUGGAAACUGGGGAACUUGAGUGCAGGAGAGAAGAGUGGAAUUCCACGUGUAGCGGUGAAAUGCGUAGAGAUGUGGAGGAACACCAGUGGCGAAGGCGACUCUGUGGCCUAUAACUGACACUGAGGCGCGAAAGCGUGGGGAGCAAACAGG